UGGCUUUAGGGGUGGAGUUAAAGGCUGCUUGGGAGGGCAUCCUUUAUGCUUAGCAUGUUUAAGAGCUAACUCCAUAUCUUCUUGAAGGGCAAUUUUUCUAUUGUGAUUGAAUGGGUGCAGAGUCAAGAUAGGAGGACUAGCAAUCACUCCUCUUACAGGAUAUCUAGUAUCUAACAAGAGAGUGCACUACUUUUAUUGUGAUGUACAUUUAUUGAAAGACAAAUGGGACA
rnacentral:lncRNA from 1 species